UACAGAGGUCCCAAGCGUUGUUCGGAUUCACUGGGCGUAAAGGGUGCGUAGGUGGUGAGGUAAGUCGGAUGUGAAAGCUCGGAGCUCAACUCCGAAAUGGCAUUGGAAACUACCUUGCUCGAGGAAUGGAGGGGGGACUGGAAUUCUCGGUGUAGCAGUGAAAUGCGUAGAUAUCAGGAGGAACACCCGUAGCGAAGGCGGCACUCUGGGCCGAUUCUGACACUGAGGAGCGAAAGCGUGGGGAGCGAACAGG
rnacentral:rRNA from 1 species